UUGGGCUGGGGUGAACAAAGAAUGGCUUUGAAACUAGAGCUUUCAGUCCCCUUCAUGGUUUUCAGAGGUGAGAGCCUCUUUGGGUAAUAGAUUUGGGAUGGAACACACACAACCCUUCUAAUAACCCUAGCUUUUAACUAAUGUCCUGAACGGUUGUCUUGAAAUACCUGGUGUAUGUACUGCAGAAAAGGAAUGCAGCUGUUUUCCAAUGUUUGUACCCAGAUUUGUUGAUCAUGAUGAAGACUGACUGACCUCAUGACCCUUAAACCAUGGCCUGAGGCGCCCCGAUGUGUAGUUAAGUUAGAGCUGAGAACAACCGUAAUAGCCUUGUUACAGAGUAAUGUAUAUGAAUAUAGCAUCGCUCGCUAUUGGAGAUUUUAAAAGUCUAAAUUGGUUUGACCAUUGUGAUUGAUGGAACAAUCUGGUUUAGAAAACUGUUUAGAUCAGAACCAUGACCCCGCUGCCUCUGCCUCCCCUUCCCUCCCCUCCACCCCUCUUCCCUUUCUGGUGUCUGUACUUUGAUGAAGGUGAAGUAUGAUGUUGGUGGUUAACAUAAUCAGAUUUAGUCAAUGUGUGUGUUCUGUCCCUAUAUAAACUAGUAAAACAAAGUUAUGCAGAAUGUUGUAGUGAGUAUACAUUUGAUUAACUGUUAAAGAAAAACUAGCAAUUCUUUUUUAUAGAACAAACUUCAACACAGAUUAAGUUGACCUAUUCAUUUAUUAGUAAAUUUCUGUACUACUGAAAGUUAGUAUUUUGUUUAUUCUGCAUAACUUUAAUAAAGUCUCCAGUGAAAUCUUUAUUGGAAAAAAGUGUUUAUAAAAAUACAUGCAAAUUUUUAUGAAUAAUUUUUGACAAUGUAAAAUUGGUCUUCAGAUUUGGAGAAUAUCAUUCCAUUAAUAAAGGUUUCACGUCUUUAUGGAUUUUUAAAAAUAGACAUAGACACUUGAAAUUACUAUCAUCACGUCUCAAAUCACCUAGAAUUCUUAGUAUUUUUCAAUUGCAAAAGCAAUUUGAAGUUUAUUCAUCUUAAUACUCCAGAAGUGAUGAUUCUACCGACUUUGUUAGAUUGCUAUUAGAGGGGCCCUUGUUUGUGGAUGAGAAGUCUCUCCUGGAGCCAUAGAAGAGACCAUGGCCUACCCCAUAGGAUUUUAACAGAACUGUGAAGCAGUCUGUUGGAUCCUGUGAGGACAGGACACUGGGCAGUCCCCUUUCCCUUUUUUUAUUGUGGUGAUGGUUUUCAGUGUCUGCUGCAGGUAAGGCGCUCAAUGUUGUUAACAUGCCCUUUUUCAUUGCCUCAGUGUUUGAUAUUUUUCAUUGGCUGUUAAACGUGGAAACUUUUUAACAUGCUUUGUCGCAUUUAUAUGCUACAGGUUACAAAGUGAGAGCCUUGUAUACACUUCAAUACUUAAAAAGUACCCGUACUCAGUACUCAGCCGGCAGCAUAAUGAAAAGUGGGACUAGACACGGUGUCCAUAUGGAGAGGAAAAAUAUACAUAGAAUAUUUUAAACAAAAUGUAUUCAUUGUAUAAAUGGAAUCCUUCUGUAACUUUGGUAACUGCAUACUUGUUGUUUGGUAAUGAACCAGAGGAGGUAUAAUACUCUAGAAUUGUGUAACAUUAAAGUGUAAACUUUGUGUUUAAAGAGAGAGAGAGCAUUUUAUGGUGUGUACUUUUAACAAGGAGUAAAGCUGCAUGCAACAGCUUGGACUGUGUAUCUAGGUAUUAAAGGUGCAAUACUGGUUAGGAGAGAGCCUCAGGGCUGCCGACUGGGGAGCUGCCUCUAUUCACUACUAGAAAAGACUGCCUUCCCCUCCCUCCCCCUCAAAAAAGGCCACAAUCUAUUCCCUCUCCUCUGUGUAUAGUAUGUAUAUUGCCGUAGUCUUAACUGGUAUGUCUAUAAAGUUGCACCCCCAGUC
rnacentral:lncRNA from 1 species